UUAGUGUAACACGUUUGUAAAGCAUUUUGUUUUUGAGCUACAUUUAGUAAACACUGGCCCAGUUGCUUUUCGUAGAAGCCUUAACGUGAUCUUGGUAGUGUUUAUUCUUGAAUUUUAACAAGUUGUAAUGAGUGUGAAAGAGCAUUUUGUUUAUGAGUUGACGUUUGGUAAACAAGGAUUUUGUGGCAUUUCACAGAAGACUUGACGCGAUGCUGGUACUGUUUAUUUUUAUUGUGCAACUUAAUAUCAUGGUUGAGAAUAUUAACGUGUAUUUCAACAGGAUAAACUCUCGAUCUGCGAAGUAUUAAACGUUGCGUCAAUCUAAUUCUACUGGGAUAAUGACAAAGCGAUAGAUACAGAGAUAACAAGAUGAAGCUUGCGAUCCUUGUGACAUUGUUUUUCAUACUGGCUAUGGCUGCCGCCUUCCCCUCAAGUCGAGGAGAUAAAUGACAUGCUCUUGUUUAUAUUUAUUUCCACGAUUUUGGCCGCAGUAUUGAUUGUGGCGUAUGCGGUGGUUGCGCCAAUGUUGGUGCCGGUGGUGGUGGCGGCGGUGGAGGCGGCGGUAGACACGGC